GACGAACGCUGGCGGCGUGCUUAACACAUGCAAGUCGAACGGAAAGGCCCCAGCUUGCUGGGGGACUCGAGUGGCGAACGGGGGAGUAACACGUGGGGGAUCUCCCCUGGACACCGGGAUAAGUCCGGGAAACUGGGUCUAAUACCCGACAGGACCGUCCGCUAGAGUGUGCGGCGGAAAGUUGUUCGGUGCAGGAUGAGCCCGCGGCCUAUCAGCUUGUUGGUGGGGUAAUGGCCUACCAAGGCGGCGACGGGUAGCCGACCUGAGAGGGUGUACGGCCACAUUGGGACUGAGACACGGCCCGGCCUCCUACGGGAGGCAGCGGUGGAGAAUAUUGCACAAUGGGCGCAAGCCUGAUGCGGCGACGCCGCGUGGGGGAUGACGGCCUUCGGGUUGUAAACCCCUUUCGGCAGGGACGAAGCGUUUGUGACGGUACCUGCAUAAGAAGCACCGGCUAACUACGUG
rnacentral:rRNA from 1 species